GACGAACGCUGGCGGCGUGCUUAACACAUGCAAGUCGAACGGAAGGGCCCCUUUGGGGGUACUCGAGUGGCGAACGGGUGAGUAACACGUGAGUAACCUGCCCUUGACUUCGGGAUAACUUCAGGAAACUGGGGCUAAUACCGGAUAGGAAUCCUUGCUGCAUGGUGGGGGUUGGAAAGCUUCGGCGGUUUUGGAUGGACUCGCGGCUUAUCAGCUUGUUGGUGGGGUAGUGGCUUACCAAGGCUUUGACGGGUAGCCGGCCUGAGAGGGCGACCGGCCACAUUGGGACUGAGAUACGGCCCAGACUCCUACGGGAGGCAGCAGUGGGGAAUAUUGCACAAUGGGCGGAAGCCUGAUGCAGCAACGCCGCGUGCGGGAUGACGGCCUUCGGGUUGUAAACCGCUUUCAGCAGGGGCGAAGCUUUUGUGACGGUACCUGCAGAAGAAGCACCGGCUAACUACGUG
rnacentral:rRNA from 1 species